GGGUUAGUAGGUUGGUCAUGCCUCUGGUAUGUACUGGUCUCACUGAUUCCUCCUUCCUGAUGAACCUUAAUGCCAUUAAUUUGGUGUUUUGGGGAAUUUGGACUGUUACUUUGAAAAAAUUAGAGUGUUCAAAGCAGGCCUACGCCCGAAUACAUUAGCAUGGAAUAAUAGAAUAGGACGUGCGGUUCUAUUUUGUUGGUUUCUAGAGUCGCCGUA
rnacentral:rRNA from 1 species